UAAAAAAAAUAGUAAUGAUGACAACAAAGGGAAUACGUCGUCAUAGGGAAACAUAAACGAUUUAACCUAAUCCCAAUAUAUAGAAACCCAAUGUGUCACACUGACAUCAUACAUGCUCAGAAAGUGGGACAACUAUCACCACUAAGAACUACAUGAUAUCAAAUGACAAGACAAACAUUUAAUGUAACAACUGUUCAGAAUCAAGAAGGAAAAUCGAUAAGAUU
rnacentral:lncRNA from 1 species